rnacentral:rRNA from 1 species
GACGAACGCUGGCGGCGUGCUUAACACAUGCAAGUCGAACGGAAAGGCCCUGCUUUUGUGGGUUGCUCGAGUGGCGAACGGGUGAGUAACACGUGAGUAACCUGCCCUUGACUUUGGGAUAACUUCAGGAAACUGGGGCUAAUACCGGAUAGGAUCUCCUGCUGCAUGGUGGGGGUUGGAAAGUUUCGGCGGUUGGGGAUGGACUCGCGGCUUAUCAGCUUGUUGGUGUGGUAGUGGCUUACCAAGGCUUUGACGGGUAGCCGGCCUGAGAGGGUGACCGGCGACAUUGGGACUGAGAUACGGCCCAGACUCCUACGGGAGGCAGCAGGGGGGAAUAUUACACAAUGGGCGGAAGCCUGAUGCAGCAACGCCGCGUGCGGGAUGACGGCCUUCGGGUUGUAAACCGCUUUCGCCUGUGACGAAGCGUGAGUGACGGUAAUGGGUAAAGAAGCACCGGCUAACUACGUG